rnacentral:rRNA from 1 species
GAUCCUGGCUCAGGACGAACGCUGGCGGCGUGCCUAAUACAUGCAAGUAGAACGCACAGGAUACACCGUAGUUUACUACACCGUAUUCUGUGAGUUGCGAACGGGUGAGUAACGCGUAGGUAACCUGCCUGGUAGCGGGGGAUAACUAUUGGAAACGAUAGCUAAUACCGCAUAAGAACAUUUACUGCAUGGUAGAUGUUUAAAAGGUGCAAAUGCAUCACUACCAGAUGGACCUGCGUUG